AUUGAACGCUGGCGGCAGGCCUAACACAUGCAAGUCGAGCGGGGUUUUCGGACCUAGCGGCGGACGGGUGAGCAAUGCGUAGGAAGCUACCCGAUAGAGGGGGAUACCAGUUGGAAACGACUGUUAAUACCGCAUAACGUCUACGGACCAAAGUGUGGGACCUUCGGGCCACAUGCUAUCGGAUGCGCCUACGUGGGAUUAGCUAGUUGGUGAGGUAAUGGCUCACCAAGGCGACGAUCCCUAGCUGGUUUGAGAGGAUGAUCAGCCACACUGGAACUGAGACACGGUCCAGACUCCUACGGGAGGCAGCAGUGGGGAAUAUUGGACAAUGGGCGCAAGCCUGAUCCAGCCAUGCCGCGUAUGUGAAGAAGGCCUUCGGGUUGUAAAGCACUUUCAGUAGGGAGGAAGCGUUGUGUGUUAAUAGUACACAGCGUUGACGUUACCUACAGAAGAAGCACCGGCUAACUCUGUGCCAGCCGCCGCGGUAAUAC
rnacentral:rRNA from 1 species